AGCGAACGCUGGCGGCAGGCUUAACACAUGCAAGUCGAGCGGGCACUUUCGGGUGUCAGCGGCGGACGGGUGAGUAACGCGUGGGAACGUGCCCUCUGGUUCGGAAUAACUCAGGGAAACUUGAGCUAAUACCGGAUACGCCCUUUUGGGGAAAGGCUUGCUGCCGGAGGAUCGGCCCGCGUCUGAUUAGCUAGUUGGUGAGGUAACGGCUCACCAAGGCGACGAUCAGUAGCUGGUCUGAGAGGAUGAUCAGCCACACUGGGACUGAGACACGGCCCAGACUCCUACGGGAGGCAGCAGUGGGGAAUAUUGGACAAUGGGCGCAAGCAUGAUCCAGCCAUGCCGCGUGAGUGAUGAAGGCCUUAGGGUUGUAAAGCUCUUUUAUCCGGGACGAUAAUGACGGUACCGGAGGAAUAAGCCCCGGCUAACUUCGUG
rnacentral:rRNA from 1 species